rnacentral:rRNA from 1 species
CACUCGAUCGGGAAAUGUAGUGUUAGGGAGGAUCCAACUAUCCCGGAUUGUCGAGGCGAGUCCAAGUCCAUCUUGAAUGGGGCCACUGCCCGUAGAGGGUGCCAGGCCCGUAGUGACCGCUUAUGCUUUCCGGGAGGAUCUCUCCUUAGAGUCGGGUUGCUUGAGAGUGCAGCUCUAAGUGGGUGGUAAACUCCAUCUAAGGCUAAAUAUGACCACGAGACCGAUAGCGAACAAGUACCGUGAGGGAAAGUUGAAAAGAACUUUGAAGAGAGAGUUCAAUAGUACGUGAAACCGUCCGGGGGUAAACGGGAGAAGUCCUAAAGGUCGAACGGGAAGAUUCAUGCCGCUUCUGUUGCUGGCCAUCUUUGUUACCAGACGGUGUCGGUCGCCCAGGACGACUUCGGUCGUGCCCGGUGUCGUUGUCUGACUGCCGCUCGGUAUGCAUUGGUGCCGUUCCAGUUUAUGGAAGGGUGCACUUCUUCCCUAGUAGGAACGUCGCGACCCGUUGGGUGUCGGUCUAAGGCCCGGGGAGGAAGUCUGUGCCUAUGGUAAGCGGGGUGAGGCGCCGCAAUAUUUGCCUGGGUCAGACCCUCGGUGUCCCGGUCGACUGCUCGACGGUAUGUAGCAAAGGAGUUAAUCCGCUCACCUUUUGGUGUGAGCGCCCGGCCCGCUUCAUUCGGACGAGAUUAGUACUAUGUCGUGAUUCAACCCACGGCAUGGAACCCUCGUGCCGUUUGCUCUAGCAGUGCCUCUCGGGCAGCAGAUUAUUCUCCCGUCUGCGACGCUAAAGCUUUGGAUCGUUUCCCGACCCGUCUUGAAACACGGACCAAGGAGUCUAACAUGUGCGCGAGUCAUUGGGAAUUUUUAUAAACCUAAAGGCGCAAUGAAAGUGAAGGUGAGAGCCAAAAUUUUUUGGCACUUGCUCAGGGAAGAAGGUACUGGUCCUUGUCUAACGACAAGUUCAACCGGACCCGCAUUCCCGGGGCGUCUCGUUCUCAUUGCGAGAUGAGGCGCACCUAGAGCGUACACGUUGGGACCCGAAAGAUGGUGAACUAUGCCUGGUCAGGACGAAGUCAGGGGAAACCCUGAUGGAGGUCCGUAGCGAUUCUGACGUGCAAAUCGAUCGUCGGAACUGGGUAUAGGGGCGAAAGACCAAUCGAACCAUCUAGUAGCUGGUUCCCUCCGAAGUUUCCCUCAGGAUAGCUGGCACUCGGAGUACAAAAAUUAAAAGACUUAUAGUCUCAUAUGGUAAAGCGAAUGAUUAGAGGCCUUGGGGCCGAAACGACCUCAACCUAUUCUCAAACUUUAAAUGUGUGAGAUCUCAGGCUUGCUUGAACGAAAAAAUUUUUUUUUCAUGAAGUCUGAGAUGGAUAAGAGAUGCCAAGUGGGCCAUUUUUGGUAGGUGUGUGGGCAACCUUGGUUGCGAAGCCCUGACGAGUAGGAGGGUCGCGGCGGUGUGCGCAGAAGGGUCUGGGCGUGAGCCUGCCUGGAGCCGCCGUCGGUGCAGAUCUUGGUGGUAGUAGCAAAUACUCCAGCGAGGCCCUGGAGGACUGAUGUGUAGAAGGGUUUCGUGUGAACAGCCGUUGCACACGAGUCAGUCGAUCCUAAGCCCUAGGAGAAAUCCGAAACGAUGGUUGUUGAUCUAACCCAACACCGUCGGGCGAAAGGGAAUCCGGUUCCUAUUCCGGAACCCGGCUGCGAAACCGGUGUACGUCGGGUGUAUCAAGCUCCCUUUUCUGUCCAGUAGUCUUAGCCCGAGUGUUCACUUCGGUGACUCGCAGGCGGGCGCUGGGCUUUGUAUUUGGGGGAUCUUGUAUGCACUCGUCGGGGUAACCCAACAUGACCCGAAGACGCCGUCGGGAGAUCCGGGCAGAGUUUUCUGUUCUGCAUGAGCGUUCGAGUUCCCUGGAAUCCUCUAGCAGGGAGAUAGGGUUUGGAACGCGAAGAGCACCGCAGUUGCGGCGGUGUCUGGAUCUUCCCCUCGGACCUUGAAAAUUCGGGGAAGGGACACGUGGAGGUCUCGCGCCGGUUCGUACCCAUAUCCGCAGCAGGUCUCCAAGGUAAAGAGCCUCUAGUC